rnacentral:lncRNA from 10 species
UAAAGCUGUUUAUUUCACCUGAGUGCAGGUGGGCUGAGUCCGAAAAGAAAGCGAAGGGAGUUAAGGGUGGGGCAGUUUUAUAGGAUUUGGGCAGGUAAAGGAAAAUUACAGUCAAAAGGGGGGUUGUUCUCUGGCUGGCAGGAGUGGGGGUCAUAAGGUGCUCAGUAGGGGAGCUUUUUGAGCCAGGAUGAGCCAGGAAAAGGACUUUUACAAGGUAAUGUCAUCACUUAAGGCAAGGACCGGCCAUUUUCACUUCUUUUGUGAUUCUUCAGUUACUUCAGGCCAUCUGGGCAUAUAUGUGCAAGUCACCGGGGCUGCGAUGGCUUAGCUUGGGCUCAGAGGCCUGACAGGAGAAUCCCUCAAACCCGGGAGGCAGAGGUUGCAGCCAGCCGCGAUUGUGCCAUUGCCCUCCAGCGUGGGCAAUAGAGUAAGAUUCCAUCUCAAGCAAACAACCAAAUAGCAACUUGAACCAAUGUGCCUCUGCACAUUUCACACAUGCUACAAAGGAGGGGUGUGGCAUGGGACAGCAUUGACCAAUCCUCGGUCAGGAAGGGCUUCCAGAGCAAGUGCAGCUCUGAAAGGCAGGUUGAACACCUCUAGCAAGGUCCUGGGAUCCUUUAAGUCCUGAAGGGAGGUCAGUGUAGCUGGGAGAGAGGGUAGGGGUGGCGUGGGGUUGUCAAGGAGGCACAGUUGGCCAAUCUAGCCUGUGCAGACCCUCCACUGCUGAAUGUAUAUAUAAUUUUUAUUUUAAGAGCAAUGGAAAUCCAUUGAACUGUUUUAAGGAGACAGAGGGAGAGAGAAACACACACACACAUGCACACAGAACCUGGCCUCGGUGGGUGUAGGAGGGAGAACUGAAUGAUAGCUUUCAGGUCUCUGAUUCACACAUUUGGAUGCUCAACGAGGGCACCUUCCUUUGGGAGCUUCGGCUGGUGUGGGGAACCAGCUGCGUGCUGGGUGGAAGAGGAGAAUCUUCUCUGAUAGAGGACAACGGUUCUGUGGUCAAGUGUAUACCACUCCCCUGCUAGAACCGCGGAACGAGCUCAAACCAGAAGAUGAAUGUUGAACAUGUACAUCCUGUUGCCUUCAAAAUACUCAGAAGAGGGGAAUUCAGGUUUUCUAUUGCUAAGAGGAACUUGGGGUGAGCUGGGAGCCCUGCGGCACCCGCCUUUCUGCAAUGCUCAGAGAGGGAUGGGCAGCCAGAGCUGAUGUGUGCCCCUGUGUGCCUGGGAUGGAUGCCGGCCCUGCUGUUCGCUCCCAGCUCCUGGGUUUGGUGGAGAAGAGGCAUGGGCACGUCUGCUCUGCCCUCCGGAAGAAUCCCCACGUUCAGAACAAGAUGCCAGAGACCCAGGUUCCCAGGUCCUGCCUGCACGCCGAAGCAGAGUCCUGGCCCUGGCAAAGCUCCAAGGGCCCGAUGACCAUGCCUGGGGUGUUGGGGGAGGGGUGCAGGGGUGCCUGGCCAUGGCACAGCCCUCUCCUUUCUGGAGGCUCCUGGGUAUCAGCUGUCCUUUCCUUCCCGCACUCUGCCUGAACGUAGAAGGAAGAAGAGAGCCGCUGACAAAGGGCUUGUGCUUUCUCCCAGCCCCUUGGAUAAGUAAGCACAGCUUUAAAUCCAAACUUAAGAGCCAGGAGAGCGGCACUGGUGGGCAUCUCCCCAGGAUUCUCAUGGUCUGGGGGAAAGACAAGAGCAUCCAGACCCUGCCUGGGAGCUCCCCGGGCCCGCGGCCUCAGUGCACACCCUGAGCUCUCCUGCGCCCCCCUCCCCCAUCCCUUGCACCACCCCCUCCUUCUCUGCACUUUGGUCCCUUCUCAGGGACGUUGUCUCUCAGUGGCUCAGGUGCCUGGCUCCAGGGAGGCCUGGGAGCUCACUCCACACCAUGCUCCCACCCUUCUGAUCAGGAAUUCAAACUGCUUUGCCUUUCCUUCACAUGCACACGGAGCUGUGUGUGUGGGGUCCACGACUCUGGGCAGAAGGUAGCCUUGAACUGCUUGGACACCCUCCCUCGGCACCAGCUUUCUCACUUGGGUCUUGUUAAUCUCAGGUACUCCUUGAAAGCAGUGGCCAAGUUUCCUUCAUAACGUGCCCCCUAGGAGCCCAUGCAGGUCCUUACACCCAGGGACGGCUCAGAGAGGGCCUGGUGGCUGAUCAGCGAGUCUCCUGGCAUCUGUAUCCACCCUGAACUGGGUGAAGGGAACUUUCCUCCAGGGCCAAGGAUGUAAUGAGCUGCCUGCUUAGGAGGAAAGCUAGACGUAUUCCCAUUGAGUAGAUUUGAAAAACAAGGCUGAUGGUGGAUCAUAAAGUCCUGGAGCCUGUGUCUCUAGCGUCACGGAAUGUUCAGAGGGGACGUGGUGGUGGGGAUGGUGGGCAAGUCUGGGGCAUGGAAGCUCUCAGACUCCUUCCUGGGUGGGAGAUAAAAGGGAGCAUUUCCCUCUAGAACCCGUCAGUCAGAGCCAGUGUUGAGAACAGUACCCUCCGCCUUCCUUAAGCAGGUUUUUACCUUUGCCGUCCUCUAAGCGACCUCCUUGUGUUCCAUUUCACAGGCUCCCCAUUAUCAGGCUGUAUUUAUUCCCCUUCCCCUCCCUACAGCUGCCUGGUCUUCCUAACUAGGCUGAAAGUGCCUGAGCUGGUUUGACUGCAGCUCCUCUGCUGGCUCCAGAGCCUGGGACAGGAAGGAGGCUGUGGAGUGGGAGAAGCCUGAGGCAGGCAGCCCAGGCGGGCCCAUGGGGCUGUGCUCACUGUGACAGCUGGGCCACAUGCCUGCCAUUCCCUGCAGCGUGCUCAUCCUCUUGAUAUAGGGAUGCUAUUGGCUGCCCAGCCAGUGAGGCCUUGGGCUCUGGGACCAGACGCCCUGCUGCUUUUAGGGCAAGGCCAGUGGGGACAGGCUAGGACAGGCGUCAGCUUUCUUUCUCUCCUUGCAUGGCCAGGGCCUGCAGCCCGUUUUCUGAUUUGUGUGUAUUAUUAGGUCCCAGGGAUUCCUGCAGCCUGGGUGAGCCUCAGUGGGUGGGGCCCACCCGGAUUCCCACCCCACUCUGUGGAGGAACUGUAUCCGGAAUCUGAGCUCUGUCCAGGGUCCUCAGCCCGGCUGAGAGAGACCUGGCCCACUGCCUGCUUCCAGGCAGAAUGAAGAAGGUGCCAUUUCUCAUCCCCACUGUCCAUGAGGCCACAUGAGGCCUGCCUUGCUUAGAUGUCCCUCCGGCACCCUGCACCUGAUGGCUUCUUUCUGUUCCCUAGAUUAUCCUAGCUCACGGCUGACAAGGGCCUAACAGCCUCCUCCUCUUGGUAACAUACGAGCAAGUUUACCAGGGUGGAUAAUAUCGUGACUCAAUGGGACCUACUGCUCCUGGAGGGGUGGGUGGGGUCCCAUCCAGGGCAGGGCCCACCUUGCCCCACAGGCAGGGCCCUGUUAGGCUAAGCUUCGGGCUGGGAGAAAAGCGAACUCUUCUGCCCUUUCCGACGCCUAAGGACCAUCGACUGGAGGGAGAGGGGCCCUGCGUUUUUGCACGGGGGAUAUGGGCAGAGGCCGGCGUAUUUAGGAAAGUGAACCCCCUUCAUUGACUGCGUUUAGCCAGGGGAAGCCAGCCCCUGCCCAGGCCCAUCCCAGGGUCGCAGAGGUAACGCUAAACAGGGCGCCUUGGAGCUGACCGCGUGGGGCGGGUUCGCGCUGCCUCGGCGUCGCCCGCCUCUGAGCGUGUGGGUGGGGGUGCUUAGGGCCCUGGCCAGGCUUAGGAAGCAGAUCUGGCUGGAUCUGAUAGCUCUUACCUUGGUUUGAACGUUUGUGCGAAGAGCUGAUUGCCCUGGAGGCGAAUUCCCGAGAAGCCGCGGGAGAGCCGCGUGAGUGUGCCCAGCUGGGGCGUCCGAGGGCGAAUCCGGCUAGGGUGCCUUUCCUGCGGCGCGGAGCCUCAGCAGCACAACCCGCGUGGGGCCGCGAUCGCCCUCCUUCCCUCCCUCCACAGACUGCUUUCCCCAAAGCAGGCACCCCUCAGGCCAGCCUCAUCUGCGUGCCCUCACCACCCUGGGGUGUCACCUCCCCGCGGUAACCCCUCCGCCGUGCACGCCAGACGCUCAGUCCGCGGGGUGCUCGGGGCAGGGCCUGCUCCCCCUCCCCACCUCGCUCCCUCCCGGGACAGCCCCUCGGGGACCAGAGCUCCCUCUCGUGUCUUAUCUGCCACAUCUGUAAAGCAAGGGGCACGUUAAUCGCUUCCAGGGUCUCUCUUUCUCCCCCCAGUCCUGAGCUCCUGCCUCAGUUGCCGCUCCGUAGCUCCGGAACACGCAGGCCCCCGAAUGCCAACUUUGACGGGGGCGGCCUUCAAAUCCCAGAGGACGCGCUCGCUCUGCGUCCCCGACUGGCGGCGCGGUGCCUGCCUCGCCUAUGCAGCAGAGUUAACUCGGGGCCUUUUUGGGUGCAGGAGCUGUUCACGUCGUAUUUUGCCGGUUGAGGAACUCCAGACCCAGGCCACGUCUCUUCACUGUGGGGAAAAAAAGCCACUUGUGAAAAACUUAUCCCCCGUGGCAUGGACUGCGUAGGAGACAGUGAAUGAAACAAGCGACCAACCUCAGCAUGAACUAAACCGAGAGACCAGGGCGGGAGGGGAGGGGAGAGGGGGAGAGUGGUCAGAGGCCGGGCUCUCUGUCUGGUGGAGACUGCCCAACCGCUGCUUCUGAAACAGCAGAGACAUCUGAUACACACAGAGGUCUUUUGUGAAUGGCCUUUGUUUGUCUUUUGGGGGCUGUGUGGAGGGCACGACACUUUUUUUGAUGGCAAUCAGAGCAGGGGCUGAGACCAACCUUGGUUGAUAUGGUGCCGACCACAGGCUACAAACAUGAGCUGAGAGGUAGGAUAGUAAGUGGAGGAGAAUGUCCCGCUGAGCCAGACAGCAGCAGAGGGGUUACAUGGGAUAACAAGACCACAAUGAGGAGUUAACAUUUGUGCUGCACUUAGAAUAGUGCCUUGAGCAGGUGAAGUUCUAUAUGUGUGUUCAUUGAAUGCAUUUUUAAAAGGAUACAUUUUUUUAAAACCUCAAUUAGAGCUCAAGCUUUUAUUCAAAUAAACUUUUAUUUUGGGCAAAUUUGAGAUUUGCAGAAAAAUUUGAAGUUGCUCUGGUGGGACAUAGGUUUCCAUAUAUCCUGUACCCAG